AGGAAGGAGUCACUGGCUCCACCUGACCACCUUGUUCCUCGCACUCUCAUCAUCCUCCGGACUGUGUGAUGUUGCAAACCCACGACCAAGGCAUUGUCAGCCGCAUACUCUACCACUGUACCACCACUGACUUCCUUAAAGUCUUGCAAUCAGAUUUCUACUGAUAUCACAGGAAGUCUGUGAUAUCCUGAUAUCACAGGAAGUCUUGAAGCCAGUCCAAGUUCUUUGUAAGUUAUGGCUAGUGCUGGGUGCUGGUCCAGUUGCCUGGGCAUCCUCAGAAGGUGUG